rnacentral:rRNA from 1 species
CUACGGGAGGCAGCAGUGGGAAUAUUGGACAAUGGGGGAAACCCUGAUCCAGCAAUGCCGCGUGUGUGAAGAAGGCCUGCGGGUUGUAAAGCACUUUCGGUUGGGAGGACUGCUUCUAGCACUAAUAUUGUUGGAAGUUGACGUUACCUUCAGAAGAAGCACCGGCUAACUCCGUGCCAGCAGCCGCGGUAAUACGGAGGGUGCAAGCAUUAAUCGGAAUUACUGGGCGUAAAGCGCGCGUAGGCGGCUAGAUCAGUCGGGUGUGAAAGCCCCGGGCUUAACCUGGGAACUGCAUCCGAUACUGUCUAGCUUGAGUACAGGAGAGGAGAGUGGAAUUCCACAUGUAGCGGUGAAAUGCGUAGAUAUGUGGAGGAACACCAAUGGCGAAGGCAGCUCUCUGGCCUGAUACUGACGCUGAGGUGCGAAAGCGUGGGGAGCAAACAGGAUUAGAUACCCUUGUAGUC